rnacentral:lncRNA from 1 species
CUCUUACUAUUAUUCAAACUGAUAGAUCUGACAUAGUUGAUACUCACUCAAAUGAUAUUUAUAAUUCUCCAACCAGUUCUAAUGUGCAGGGUUUUGACAGUCCCACUUUUCAGGGUUAUGGUGAUUCUUGCUUUACACCUUCUCCAACUCAUCCAAGUAUUCCUUCUCCCUCACCAACCAACCAAUAAUUUUCAUCCUAUGAUUACUAAAGCCAAAGCUGGUGUGUUCAAACCAAAGAUUCCUACUACCAGUACUUCUUCGUAUGUUGAACAAUGUACUUUUCACGAUGCUCUCAACAAUCCAGAUUGGUACCGUGCCAUGCAACAUACAAUGUUGUUCUUGCCAAUAAUAUGGACCUUCACCAAUCUCCCAACUGGUGCGAGAAAGGUUGGCUAAAAAUGGCUUUUUAAGAACAGAUUUAAUGCAAAAUGGGAGUUUCUAGCGACACAAAGCCAGGCUUGUCACCAAAGACUUUCAUCAACCUCAAGAUUGAAAUACACUGAUACUUUUAGUCCGGUUGUUAAGCCUACUACCAUACAUGUUUUUCUCACCAAAGCUUUAUCAUCUCAAUGGCCAAUACAUCAAAUAGACAUCAACAAUGCCUUUCUAUGUGGUGAUUUGGAUGAAACUGUCUAUAUGCAGCAACCUCCAGGCUUUGUAUCCAAGGAUUCCACUCUUGUGUGCAAGCAAACAAAGGCUAUCUACGGGCUCAAACAAGCACCGCAUUCUUGGUUUCACAAGCUAAGUCAAACUCUUCCCUCUUUUGGCUUCACUCUUGCUAAAAGUGAUCCCUCUCUAUUUACUAUGUUUUCAAAUAGUUUUACUAUGUUUAUUCUCAUAUAUGUUGAUGAUAUUAUCAUCACCAGAAGUUCUUCUCAUGCCAUUGCAUCUCUCGUUAAAAAUUUUACAUCCACACUUUGCCUUGAAAGACUUGGGUUCCUUACAUUAUUUCCUUGGCAUUGAAACUUCUUGGAUCAGAGAUGGCAACAUUCACUUAUCCCAAACAAAAUACAUAAAAGAUAUUUUGCAUAAAGCCAACAUGCUUGGGUCUAAGUCACAACCAACAUCUAUGGUCUCUUUAUUAUGUUUAACUCAAUAUUGUACAACGGUUCUAGAUUCUUCUCUCUAUCAUUCAUUUGUUGAAUCUCUGCAAUACUUGACAAUCACACAUCUUGAUUUGGCUUACUCUAUCAACAAAGUUUGUCAAUACAUGCAUAAUCCGUAGGAACACUAUUGGAAGGCAGUUAAACAGAUUCUUUGAUACCUUGCUGCCACUCUCACUCACGAUCUUCUUCGCCGCUGCGCAAAGCUCUCUCUGGUUGGGUUCAAUGAUGCUGAUUGGGGGUGUGAUCUUGAUGAUAGAAAAUCUCCCACCAGUUACUGUGUAAUAUAUCUCAGUACAAAUCUUGUUUUGUGGUCCUUGCAUAAACAAAAGAUUGUCUCAAGAAGUAGCAUGAAAGCAGAAUAUCACCGCUCUUGCUGAAAUCAAAAGGAUUGAAUCUCUUGUGCGUGAACUUUGGAUCUCUCUCCUUAUAGUGAGAAAGGUAUUUGAAGCUUGUUUUCUCUUAUUACAUAUUUGGAGUCCUAGUAUAUAUAGAUUGGAAAGAUAUUUCAUGGACAAUUUCCUCCAUAUUCCUCAAGUUAUGUUAUUUCAACGGAUAAGCAAAACUAUUACAUACCAUCCUUGUAACUAACAUGAAUAAAAUAGCUAUCAACAAGCUAUGGGAUGUCUAGAUAGUUUAUUACUUUUCAAGUGGAAAACUAGAACAGAAUAGAUGAACAAACAAUGCUAAAGGAAAACGACCAUCUACAUACUAGACUAUGAACAUUACAAUGACAAGCUCACCAUGAUUAACAAAAGUCGAAGUUUGCUUCAAAUUUUGCUUUCCAUUGGAAAGGGAACUUCUGUGAGCCUUUUCACUGGAUCUUUUCACUUCAUCUGCAGGUUUAGAAUGCUUCAAAGUUUGUUUCCCAUUUGAAUGGGAACUUUCAGCACAGAACUCCAUCAUAUCCAAACUAAAUGACUAUUCCCCGCAGUAAUUAUACAGUAAAUAUUAAUACUUGUUUCCUUCAAAAGAUUAGAGGUACCUCCAAGCUUCCUUACAGUUAUUGCAGUUCAUGUCACAGGGUUUGAAAAGAACUGGUGCUCAUCUAUCAUGGUUGCUGCAUAAUGACGAACAACUAUCAAAGGAAAACUAUUGGCAAAGUGUAAUUUGUGUUUGUUGUACAACGCUAAUAAAACUGGAAAAAGAAAACAAAAAAUCAACAAGGUAAAGUAAAAAUGGAUAAAAUAGGAUGAAGUGUAAAUUUCACAAAUUGUUUACAACAACAUUCAUAAAUAUCUUCCUUCAACAGUAGUUUUCUUCAUGCAUUGCUUUAAAUUUGCACCAACACUCAUAAAACUUAUCUUCCCCCAAGCCUCAUUUUCUCUAAUUGGUUCCACAUUAUAUCUCUUCUAUAAUGUGGUAUCAAUUGCCUGAAGAUUAUGAUAAUUUGGGGUAUUAUCAAGGAAACCAAAUAAAUGGAGGUGACAAAACCUCUGCGUGAUAUGUUAUACAAGUUAUACAUUGCACAUAGUAAUGGUCUUUUCCUAUAAUGCAGAAAGUGAACGUUUCUGAGUUCUCAAUGACAAUUUAAUUAGUAGUUAUGCAAAAGUUAACACUGGAUUCCAAAAAAUGGUGUGUAACAAUUUUUAAACAAGCCAAUUCACCCUGUACCUGCUUUGUUUUCCAAUUUUGGCCAGUAAUUGAAAUGAAUAAAUGACAGAAUGUGCAGUCUCACAAGUUCAAAUAUAACAAAUAUGAACAUUCAAUUCAAGUUAUUUCAGAUACAUGAGCAUCAUUCCUGAAAUCCUAAAGUAAAACAACCUGAAAAUUACAGUCUCUUCGACCUGAUACCAUACAAAACUCGAUGCACGCUUUUCCUAAUAUUUCAACUUCAACUGGAAUACAACAAGUUUGGUACUCGGAUCCUGAUAAGUAACCCAAAAACUUGGAGAACCCACUUUCAGAAACUAACUGUUAGGGAGAACCAGGCACCUAAAUCCUUCACUGAGUAUCCUAUAUUACUCUAUGAAGGACUUAGGUAGCCCUUAAUACCCAAGUUCCUAUCAAACACAAUAUUAUGAAAUGAAAACUUUAUCCAUUAAUUCAAUUCACUUCCCUUCCAGAUCUGAAACAAAAUACAGUAGGUAAAGAACACAGCUAUGCUACUUCAAGAUCCCAAAUCUUCCUGACUUGAAACACCCAACAUUGUUUUUAUAUAAACAAAAAGGAAACAGAAAUUCAGACAAACCAAAGACCGUAUUUGAAUAAUACCCUGCAAAUCAAUAUUUUCAUACUGUAUACAGCUCAAGACUUGUGUCGGUUUCAAAUGUACAAUUAACACAGCACAGCUUCAUCAUGAAAGCAACAUAAACUGGCAAGCAUGCACGCGAAUAACACAAAUUCCAAAGCAAAUAACAAAAAAAGUAAGAGAUUCCCAAUAAUUCCAAGUAAGAGACAAAACCAAACAACAUUGUCCCUCAACGAGGAAUGCAUUUAGCAAAAGAAAAAAACUACACCAGAUCUGAAUAAAAAAAACAGCAUACGAAACACAAAACAAAACAAACAAACAAACAAACAAACAAAAAAACUGAACUUUUGUGCGAUAUCCUGAUAAAGAAAGGAACAGGGAAUACCCUUAUGGUGGUUUGAGUGACGGUAGGUGGUGGUGGCUGAGCAAAGAGAUUAAUUGUAGGAGAAUUAGAAGCUAAGAAUUUCAAGGUACGUUUUAGAAACGUUGGUCUCGGAGUUUAAAAGCAUUUAGCCACAACAAUUAACAGAAGAACAUGCAUUUUCUCCAUUCUCUACGUUUUCAAUUUCUGCUUGUGGACAUGUGUCUGUGGCGACCUGCCACCACUUUUUUAUUUAUUUAUUAAUAAAAGUUUUCGGUAUUUUAAUUUAUAUUUCAGUUAAGCUAACACAUAAAAUAAUCAAUUAUUUAUUAUUAUAUAAAAAAAUAUUAUUCAAAAAUAAUAAAAAAUAUAUAAAAGGAUUAAUUCAUAUGUUAAAAUUCUAAGUAGAUUACAUUUAUUUAUAAAAGAUUUAAGAAUGAACUAAAUAAAAGUCUAUUAUACCAAUAAAAUAUAAUUUUUAUAAAUAAAUUUUAAAUUAAUAAGCAUUUCACCAAUUAUUUUUAACUAUUACUAUUAUUUAUGAUAAACUUGCAGAGGUAAAGAUUUAUUUUAUACCACAUACAAUAAAAACAUAUUCUUAAUACAACAUUAUAAUAAUAUUAUAAUAUUUAAAACUGAAAAACAAAUUAAAUAUAAUUAAAAUGUUAUUUUAUUGAUGUGUGAAAUAUAUGUUUUCUAUUGUGGUGUUUAUAUCACCACCUCUCCCAAAUUUUUUCUUAACACUGAAUUUAUGAUGAUUUCUCACAAUGUUAAAAUGAAAAGUCUUUUCUUUUGCAUUAAUAAUUUUAUUGCAUGUUUUAUUGUUUUUCUUAUUUCUCUCCUAAAUUGCAAAAAAUGUUAUAGAUAAUUAGAAUUAUCCCUUUACAAGAACUUUUGUUUUCACUUGGAAGAGUUUGGAUAAACUGUUGCUGUUUAUUAUUUGUACAGGUGUAAUAGCAAUAUGACUGGAAUACCCCUCCACCAACCAUUCAUGACAUGAAGGUGGACCAGAAUUGAAAAAGCAUUUGAGAGGCUUUUAGUCAUUUGAGGUCAUAACAAUGACGCAACAACUUCAGCUCCUAAGAACCACACACGAUUCCUCUUGUUACGUAUCUAAAGUAAAAUAAAUAUAAUGGAAAUUAUAAUAAACUAUUCCUUUUACGAGUGUUAUACCCGAUUGGUUUUUAUGUUUAUUGAGAAUUAUAGUCAUAGUUAAUUACAUCGUCUUGUUGGUAGAAAAUAGUUUUAAAGUAUAAUUAUAUAACUAAAUUGAUAUUUAAAUAUUUAUUAUUAGAGUAAAAAAUGUAUAUAAAUAAAAUCAUCUUUUUAAAACUAUUAUAUUUUUUUGUCUUUUCUUUAAGAUUCUAACCACCUUUUUCAUUUGAAUGACUAAGAGGUUAUUUUUAUAUUUUUGACGGUGAAGAAAGUAAUAUUGUUCUAUCAAAAUUUUAGUUAGAUUAUGUUCAUUUUUGCUCUCUUUUUUUUUAGUGAAUUUUGAGUUUUAGUGUUUACCUGAGCAUAUAUGGUUGCAUGUGAUGUUUAAAAUUUCACUUGUUAGUUCAGAGUCUCAUGAUAUAUGCUUGAAUCAUUGAUAAAGACUUUGUGGUACAAGUUUAGGAUUAGUUCUUGUUAGUUCAAAGUUCCAGUGAUAUGCUUGAAUCAUGACCAGGACUAUGUGGUGUAGGUUAAGUUAUCCCAAGAGUUGGAACUCUUUAUAAGCACACUAUCCCGACCAGUCCUCGAUCAUCGAUUCCAAUGACUGACCUCAAACAUCGCACACCGGUGCCUGAUAGUGGAAAGGGGCCAAGUACGAUGGACCCCAUAUGCACCUAUCAGAGGAUUGGUGAGUCUUCAAACAUCAGUACUAUAGACCCCGAUGUUGGAGAUCGACAUCGGCCCUCGCCAACAGAAGGAGAGAUCGGACAUCGGCAGUCUAAACGUUAUGAUGGGCCAUGAGAGGUGGGUCCCAGAAUUAUGCUAAGUUAACAGUUAAGGCAUUAGAUAUGUGGGAAACCUAAGUCACGAACAAUCCAUGCACGUGGUGUGUAUAGCGCAUGCAAACGCGACCUGAGUGAAUAAUCCUGGGAAGCGCUAAGGCACAUUAGGGUUAGGGUUUCUAGGGAAAGUUGCAUGCAUGACAUGUGAAUACUUAGGGCACCCACAAAGCAGAUGGCGCUAGAUAUUAGGUGUACAAGUUGGUACCUAGGCGGCCACUCUGUUAUUCGUUGCACUCCAGUUAAGGGAAGUCCAUGUGCCAGAUAUGCUAAGAUUACGUAAAUAGUGGCGCAAUAACGUUCCCCAAGGAGCCCUAGACAAGGGUAACAACACAAAGGUAAACCCUAGUCUCAACCUAUAUAAAGGGUGUCAAGAACCCUAGCAAGGUACACAGUUUCUAAGACUGAAACUACUUUAUACACUUGGUAUUUCUUUGUCUUUAUACUGACUUGAGCGUCGGAGUGCAAACGACCGUCAAGGCGCCCUUUGUCUUUGCAGAUGAGAUAUUUCUUGAUUAAGGAAGUACGAUUCUUAGGCGGAGAUAGAAGGGUCGAAGGUUGUCGUUAGAAGCAACUGAUGCAGUGAGUCAACCGGCGGGAACACACCUACUUUUAAUUAGUAAGGGAAAUUAAUUUUGUUUUUCAAUAGAACCUUUGGUAGAAAUCUGGAUGUGAAUGUGACAUGGUUACCAACUUUCGAAUUUUCUUGCAAUGAUGUUUUGAGUGAAUUAGUAGUCUUGAUUUAGAUUGAAUGUCAGAGCAUAGAUAUGUUAAAUUUUGUUAAUUUGGUAAAUUACAUGUUGAUAAUGAAUGAACAAGCAAUUGAAAGUGUUUAAAUUGUAUUAUGAAUCAUUUAAAGUAUAAAGACUAAUGAGUGUUGAUUGUUUGAAUCCGAAUGUUUAAUUUGAAUGAAUUUGAUUUAAAGAUCAUGCAUUUAUAGAUAUAUAGGUUGACACGCUGAAUCAGAGUACUUGUACAACUUUUAGUAAGGUGGUAUUAAUUUUGGUUUGAUAUGUUUUGUGAAAAUAUAGAUUUGAUAUUGAAUUUUUGAGAGAAAGCUUAAAGAUAUCAAUUUUAUGAAAGUUUAGCUUGUAAUUUUUGCUCAAGCGAUGAUUUUUCGCUCAAGUUAGAAUAAGGCAUAAUUGUAUUUUCACUCAAACGAGCGAAUUCUCACUCAAACAAAAAUGGGAAAAAAUAUAUUGAUCCCACGUCUAUUUUCACUCAAGCAAAAGGAUUAUCAAUCAAACAAAAAUAACACUGGAACUAAACUUAUUCUCGAUCUCAAUUUUUGCUUAAGCGACAAGAUUUUUGCUCAAACGAUGUCUAUUUUCGCUUAAGCUAAGCAAAACUUAAACUUUUGAAAUUUAGUUAUGAAAUGCUGUUUUAUAAUUGUUUAUUAUUUUAAUUAAAGUUUAUGUAAAUUUUAUUUAUAUAAGUAAUUGAAAAUAAUUAGUUGCUUAAUUAUGUAAUUUCUAGUAAUCUGGGUAGAGAACCGUAACAUAUUAAUUACAAGACUUUUUUUAUAACUCAUUAAACGAUAAAAUAAAGAUUUGAAAAGGAUCCAAUUUGAAUAACACAUUAAAUAAUGGUUGAAAAUGAAAUACAAUUUAUCAUAAAAAUCAAAACUUUUCAAUGAUCCAUCAAACGCAUUAAAUAGCUUCCUUUAUAAGAGAAUUAAUGAUUUGACAAAAGACUAGGAAAAUGUCUUACAACAAUUAAUUUUAGAUAACAAAAUAUACUUUUUUUUUAUACUUUGUCUCCAACACCAAAUGCUAAUAUUUAAAAACUAACAAUAAUAAACAUAAUAAACUAAUGCAUGUUUUCAAAUACUUUUUAAUAGUAAAAGCAACUUUGAUUAACUUUUAGAUAUUUUUCUUUAAUUCAAAAAAUGAAUUUCCGUUGCCGGGACUUGAACCCGGGUCUCUCGGGUGAGAGCCGAGUAUCCUGACCAACUAGACUACAACGGAAGGCAUACUACAUUUGAAUAACGAAUAUAUAAGAAAAUUACCAAAUUUAAACAAUUUACUUAAGACACAUAUUCUUCUUUUUUUUUCCUCUACAAAUUUGAGUAUACUUUGAUACAUUCUCUCAAUCAGACAUUUAAAUAAAAGUAAGUUAGAUAUUCGACUUUUUCUUCCUACACCCCAUUGGUACUAAUUGCACUUUUGAUACAAAAUAAAAAGAUUAAAAAUACUUAUUUUGUAAAUAAGUUUUAGAAAUUUUGUUCCAAAAAACUUGUUUUGAAAAAAUUGUUUAAGAACAUUUUAUGUUUUCGAAAACUUGUUUUGGAAAGCUCAUUCCAAAAAACUUAUUAUAGAAAACUCAUUUAGAAAAUAUCAUAUUUUUUUAAAAAAAAAAACUUAUUCUAGAAAUUUUGUUCUGAAAAACUUAUAAAAAUCAUGUUCUAGAAAUCCUAUUCCAAAAAUUUUGUCAUAGAAAUCCUCUUUUGGAAAUCAUGUUUUGAAAAUUUAAAAAAGCUUUUUCUAAAAUACUUUUAAAUCUGAAGUCACUUUUACAAAAGGUAAAAUGCUCAUUUAAAAAACUUAAAAGGGUGCAGCUAGAAAUUAUAGGAGUAGGAAGAAAAAGCGUUGAUCUUUUUACUGGUAUUGCAUACUGUGGGAAGAAAUAUGUUAGUGGGUUUCAAUAGUGAUUGAUUCAUCUUCGCGCUUAUUGGGCUGAACCUUGAUAAUAUACUUCGGGAAAUUACUUCCUGAAGCAUAUCUGCACCCAAUUUCAGUAUGAAAAAGACGAAAAUACCCUUAAAUAAAUAGAAUUAUACAUUACAGAUCCUCUUUUUCAAAAUGUUUCAGAUUUUUUUUUUCAAAACGAAUUUUAUCUAUUACAAUUUUUUUUAUCCGGUGAGAUUUUGAAUUUUGAAUUCCAGAUAUAUCUUUUUGGAAUGUAUUAUUUUUAAUUCUAAAUUUUUAUUUGGCAUUUUGAGAAAUAAAAAGUUAUGUUUGGUGCAGAUUAAGAAUGAUUGGGUCUAGGAAGAACUUGCAUGUACUUCGAGAAGAAGAUAGUUUCUUGUGCAAAAAUUAGGAUUAUAAGCUUUUUUUUUUGGUAAUGACUAUAAUUUAAAUAAAUGGUCAUGUAAUUUGAACAAACAAAUUAUUAUGGAGGAGAAUAAUAAAUGUAGGGACCUACGAAGGAUAAUUAAUCUUUUAUACAAUUGCUCAUAUCACUUCAAUAAAUCAAAGUCAUCUUUUGUAUACUUUUCAAUUUAGUUUAUAGUGAAAUGACAUCUACAUUAUUAUGGAGGAGAAUAAUAAAUAUAGGGACCUACGAAGGAUAAUUAAUCUUUUAUACAAUUACUCAUAUCACUUCAAUAAAUCAAAGUAAUCUUUUGUAUGCUUUUCAAUUUAGUUUAUAGAGAAAUGACAUCAACAUUAUUAUUAUAAAUUUAUAAAUAAUUAGUAGUUAAAAAUCAAUUUAAAAAUUAUUUAAUAUAAUAAAAAUUAAUUUAGAAACUAAAAUUUAUUUUAAAUUUUAAAAUAAUUUUACUAUAACAACUAAUUAUUUUUUUUAUAAUUAAUUUUUAUUGAAUGAUUUUUUUUAAUGUUGGAUUAAGAGAUUUAUUUAGUUUUAAUUUAAUUGUUUUUAAGGAGUAAACAAAUGUAAUACACUUUCGCGAAGAGUUGAAAAAGGUAUUAAGCCCAAAUCAUUGUAUGAGUAUUAUAAAAUAUUUUUUGAUGUCACAGGAAGUAAAACAAAUAUAUAUUGGCACGCUUAUUUUUAUAUUAUGAUUUUUUGGUUUUUCUAUUUUUGAAAAAUAAUAUUUGUGGUGUAACAUUCCUUUUUCAAUUUAAAAAGAAUCACAAUGGUGAUCUAAUAUUCAACUUUGCAUAUUGAAUCUUAGUCUUACAUAUUCCUUUAUGAUAUAUAUAUAUAUAUAUAUAUAUAUAUAUAUAUAUAUAUACUUUUGCACCACCAAACUCACACUAUAACAUGGCUUACGGUUUAAAACAAUGAAUAUUAGAUCUCUUACUAUAUUUAAGAACUUAGAUUUCCAUUAUGUUAAACUUUGCAUCCUCUCAUGAAUUUUAGAUCUACUUAAGCAAAUUAAAAAUUAAAAACACUUGGAGUUCUAUACUUAAACAAAUUCCAUCAUGUUGAUAUUAAUCACAUUUUAGUUUCGCUAUUUGCAGUUUACCUAUUUUUUUUAUAUUUUUGUUGGACAUAUUAAAGAACUUGAUUUGAAGAGUUAUUGAUUGAUUUCAUAUAAAACUUCGUUUAAUUAUCUAAUUUAAUUUUGAUAUUUAUAUUUAUUAAUUUUAUACAUAAUUAUAUUUUUUAAAUAAUGUAGAGAAAAUUUUCAAUAUGUUUACCAGAUCAACAAGAAAGAAUUUUGAAAUGCAAAGUGUUAUAAUCAUAAAAAAUAAUUUAAAAAGACUCGACAAAAGAAGAGUAAACUAAAUUAGAUUGAAGAUAGAACAUGCAAUAUAUUAUGUUACUGUUUAAGGAAUUCAAAAAGAAAAAGUUAUGAUUGGAAAAAACAAAUCAAGCCUUUGACUCUGAGGUUUUGGAGUUUUGUACAUAUUUUGCUGAAUUUCAGGAACCGUGUAAGAACAUAUAGAAAAACAUAUAGAAUCACCAACUGCAAGAACAUAUAGAAAAACAGAUUAAUUUGAAAGAGAUUGAUGAAUUUGAAGUGAAGGUUAAUGUAAUAUAAAUAUCACUUUCAAAUUUAUUUGGGUAAGAUGUAAAUAAAUCUUAUUUGUAGGUGAAACAUUGAAGAGUAACUGAUAUUUUUAUAACUUCACUUCAUUCAGUAAAACAUAUUUUUCUAGCUUUGAAUUUAAUUACAACAUGUCACUGUUGAUUUUAAAUUGUAAAACUAAGUCAUUUUAGUAUGAUAAAAGUAUAUAUAAGAAUUGAAGUACAUAGUGAGAACUAAAUAGUGGACAAAUAAUGAAAAUGUGUGAAAAGAAGAAGGAAAUACACUUUUCUGUAUACAGUAAUAUAUAAAUAAUAAAAUAAUGACUACUCAUAUUUUAAAUUUGCAAUGAAUAAUUUAAAUUAUAGUAAAAAUAAAAUUUUAAUUAAUAAUAAUUAUUUUAAAGAAUGAAUAUUAAGUAGACAAAUAAUAUUUUGAAGUAGAUUAUUAUUAUUAUUUAAAGAUUGAUAUAGUGAUUAUAGGAAGUAGAUAAUAUUCUGAAGUAAAUUAUUAUUAUUUAAAGAUUAAUACGGUGAUUAUAUUUUACCAUUUAAAUAUUUGAUCACACUAAAUCAUAUUUUUAAUAAUAUAUUAGUUAUAUACUUAAUCACAAAAUUGAUUUUUACAUCUUUUUUUGUCUAUAUAUUUGAUUAUUAAAUUAAUCUUUAUAAUAAUAGAUCAUUAAAUAAUGAUAAUUAACUUAAUUUCUAUCAUCAGUCACUAAAAUUUAAAUUAGUUUCUAAUCAGUGAGUAAUUUUACCAUUUUAAAACUAUUAAGAAAAUGUGUUAUACAAAUGACCUUAGAGGAGAUGAGUAUAUUUUUCUUAAUAAAAGAAAAAACAAUAUAUAGUUAUAAAAUUAGAGUAAUUUCAACAAUCCGUUGUAGUCUAGUUGGUUAGGAUACUCGGCUCUCACCCGAGAGACCCGGGUUCAAGUCCCGGCAACGGAACUUUUUAAUUUUUUUAUAUUCCGUGGACACACACCAUUUUCCAUUUUCACAGUUCUCGUAAACACUCCAUCAGCAACUAAAAUUCACCAAACAUUGCAGAUAACUCUUAACAUGAUAUGAUCUGUUUUCAUUCAUAAAGAUCUUAUUAUAGAUAGUGCACACGUACACAUAUAUAUCUUCACAACUAUAGUACAUAUGAAAGUUCUAGUUAUAGGAAGCAUAAUGCAGAAGUAGGUAGCUAAUAGGAAGCAUAAUUGUGUGAAGCUGUUUGUGUUUGAGUCACCAUUGCAGUAGAAACCAUUGUGUUCAUUCCACACAUGCCAUGCCCUCGGCAGAGCUUGUAAUACCCAUCUACUCCCCAUCUCUUUCCCCACGAAUUCUUGAUGAUCCAGUAUGGUUUGUUGCCAAGUCUCAGAAUUGAGAAGCCUUUUGCUCUAUAACCCACAAGCAACACACCAUGGUUCAGCCAUUUCUUGCUGCAUAUGAGAGGGCACGAGACACCCCCAAUGUAUGUUUGCAUGAAAAUUGCGUUCAGACCAACUACACAUUAAAGUCCAUGAAUGUUAAGACAUACAGAUACUACUAACAUUAAACAUUAAGGAUUGUUUUAUUAAGGGGACUUACCAGCAAGUGGACCGUGUUUGACUAAAUAUGCAGCAAUUUGGUUUUCAUCCACAGGAAUGUUGGUGAAAUUUGUGAUCCUAACUGCUACUUUCCCUGGAUCAAACUUGCAUUCACCUUUCGCCCCUGUGUAGGGGUAUGAAGACUCCUCCUCCAACCCACCAGACUGCAGCAAAUACUUGUAGGCAUUUGUCAUAAGACCUCCCAUACAGCCAUUGUCACAUGUGGUGCUUUCUGUUAUGUCACACUAUGAAAAAGAAAUUGAAGAAAAAAUCAUCACCCAUUAAGAAAAAGGCAAUAAAGAAAAACCCCACCCAGUUAAGAAAUGAAUCGAGAUGCAUAAAAUUUGUGACAUUUAUUUAUGUGCAUUUAAAAACAAUGAAGAAAGCAAGUUACAUGGAGAUAUGCAUCUAACAAUAAUCCUUGAACAGAGAUGUUUUUAAUAUAGUACCUGGCUGUCACAGUCUACGAGCUGUUGUUCACUGAGAUUGAGGAGCUUUCCGGUGGCAAUAAAAUUGGCUCCUUCUAUAGAUCCUGUGGUGCUGAAAGCCCAGCAUGAUCCACAUUUACCCUGUUUUCAUAUUAUGCACAAAGUAUGCCAUUACUCUAAGAAGACAGAUGAAUUAAGUCUUCACAUCACUAAUUAGCUAAGGAAAAUAAUUUCUUUCUUCUUCAAUUUUAUUUUUAUAAUUUUAAUUUUUUUUCAUAUACCUUCCUUAUUUAUUAGGUGCGAGACAUGCAGUACCAAGUAUCAUUGUCAAAUUAAAAAAACUGAAACAAGAAAUUAUGAGGUGGAAUUUAAUUUUUCUCCCCAUACAUUUUUUACUAUCAAUGUAAUUUUUGAAUAGUGAUAUUGUUACUAAUUGUUGAUAGCUGGAAUCAGUUAGCUAAUAAUAAAAUAAAAAUAAUAUUAAAUACUUCUAAUAAUUAGUUAGUAGUGUGAAAAAAAAUAUACCACUUCAAAAAAUCAUAAUACUCAUGAAUUGUAGUUGGUUGAAAAUGUAAUUAUUUUCAUAGAAAUUAAACCUAAACUUAUCAUACAUAUAUACCUGCAUCUUAACUUCGGUGACAGCCCCUUUUUCUCGCCAAUCGAAAUCCUCCGGCAGUCCAUCCACCUUCAACGGCGGUGCCACAUCUCUGACGCCAUUGUUCCACGGGAAGCCGCCAUUGACACCGGUGUAGUGCCGUUGAAACUCGUCCUCGGUUAGAUCGGAGAACUGCGUGACGCCAUGGAUGGCGGUGGGGUCGAGCGCCUGGUUCUCCGCCGCUCUCAGCAUGUUUCCGGCGAAAAUCUCCAAACGCUGUAAAUACUCUUCCCUGGUGGAGUACUUCUUCCCGUAGUUCUCCAUGAAGACAUUGAACUUCUUCUCCGUUCGCAGAAGUUGGUUGUCCUGGAGCUUCAACUUUUUGGCUAUGUCGUGAACCGUGGUUUGGCGAGCAGAGGAUAGGGUUAGAGCGAAGAGAACGAGUGAAAUACGUGCGAAGCACGUGAGGGCAUGACCUCGCUUUGCCACCAUGUUCGUGCGUGCUUCCUCUACCUGCUCUGCUACUAACUUCGUUUUUCUUCUUCUUCUUCUUCUGCGUUUUAUGGGGUUUUCUUCGUGAAUGUUGUAAUUACAGUUAUAGCCUUGGAAGGGUGGUGCUGGAGAGCACAUGAGGGUGUAGUGCAGGGGUAGGAGUGUGAACUUCAAGCGCAUGGAAAGGUGGCAGCAUGCAGCGGUGAGGCUCAACAUGCAACGUGACACGUGGGUAGGGCUCAGAGUCUUAAACUUUGAGUAAGACCAAAAAUAAUAUUUUCCUUUACUUCAUCUUUUAUCAAAAAUAAUAUUGAUAAUUUAAUCAAUUUAUUAAUAAAAAAAAUAUAGUCGAAGUAGAAAUUAAUUAAAUUAUAUUAAACUAAGCACUAUAAAGUGAAGUGAAUGGUUUAUAUCCUAGAGAUACUCUUGAAAUAUUUUAAUAAAUGAACCUUUGUCUUCGGAUUUUGUUUUAAAAAUAAAUCUUUAUUCAUAAAAAUAGUUAAAUUAGAUUUUUUUUUCUCUUUUAAUAAAGUUUCACGUAUGGACUAAUAAUGUUUAUGAUUUGAUUUCUCUUAAUAACGUUGGUCUACGAACCUACAUCAUAAUGGUCAAGGAAAGCAAUUAUAAUGUAGUGAAUUUUGUAGAUGCCUUCGAAGAUUUUAUAUGGUACACAUACUUGAUGACGUACUUUAGUUCAACAUACAUGGUGUCAGACAUGAGACAAUUGACUAGGAAUAGAACUCCCGAAUCAAAACUUUGUUCAAUCAAUUAGGUUCAAUCUUGAGGGCACACAAAGGUCACAAUCAAUUAGGUUAAAGCUUGAGGGCACACAAAGGUCACUAGAACAGAGAAAGGUCACUAAAACCGAUUGGGCCAAAAACGCACGCAAACAAGAAGUUUGUUGUCAAGGGAAAUUGGUUUUACGUGAGACUUUGUUCUUAUGUAGUAAAAAACCUCUUUAUUAAAACUAUAUUAAGAUUUAUAAAUCUUAUUCUUAUUCAUUAACUCGUUCAUAACUUAAACUUAACAAAUUUUUAAAUUCGAAUAAAUGUGUCAGAAGAAGCACAUUAGAUAAAAUUAUUACACUCAGGACAGGAUUCCAACGUCAAUCACGGAGAUUUUGUUCACGUGAAGAAAUCUCUGGAUAUAUAUAUAUAUAUAUAUAUAUAUAUAUAUAUAUAUAUUUUAUUUUAUUUUUAGGACGAAAACAUGAGAUACUUAAUUGGAAGGAAAGAAAGAAGGAAUCAAUUUUCCCCUCACCAAAAUGUUAACAUAUCAUAAGUAUUAUUUUAUGUUUAUUCCAAGUUGAGAUUUUUUUCUUAAAAUAUGCUUCUGAAAUCAAAUGAUUAAUAGUAUCACAUAUAAUAAUGCGUGAUAAUGAAUUAUUAACAACAAAGAACUGAAGGUAAAUUAUUAAUUUAUGACGACUAUAAAUGUGAGAAGGAAUAAUUUAUUGGUGAUGAGGUUGAUAAAGAGGACUUUGAAAAUUACAACAGAUGCAGACAAGUGCAGACACAUGUAUAACACAGUGCCUUACAACUGUCUAAUAAUAGAACAAAAGCAUAAUAACUAUUGAACUAAACACAGUUCUCUAAACAAUUGAUAAACAUUUAUACUUCUUCGUGGAUCUGCAAGCAAAGUGCACCUUCCCCUUCAUGGCUUUCACUUUCACUUCCACACUUUCUGCAUAGAUCCUACACAAAACACGUAUACAGUCUGUCAGUUCACGUUACCCCUUACUAAAAUACGCUAAGAAAAGGAUUUCACAUAUUCAACCCUAAGAGAAUGUUUCAUAAGAUAAAUCUUUGUUUGAAAUGAAAGAUAUUUACGCAACAAUAAAAAAGAGAACGAAAAUGGGUAAGAGGAAACGUUGGAAUUUGUAAUGAGGUGUGCAGGGAGGAUUUUAUUACCAUGUGGUGUGAUGCAAGGGUGGUAUCUAGUAGUGGUAAGGAGGAGGAGGAGGAGGGGAUUUGUAGUAGUAGUGGGGUGGAGGUGGUGAAGGGACUGGAGGAGGAGGAGACUUGUACUUAUAAGGCUUCUUGUGAGGUGAUGGUGGAGGAGAGUGGUAAACUGGGGUGGGGACAUGGGGAGGGUAGGUGGGAACUGGUGGCGGUGGGGAGUGGUAGACUGGGUGGGGGUGAGGGUAGCGGUGCCUGUGCACUGGUGGAGGAGGGGAAGAGUAUUUGUAUGACUUCUUAGGAGGGGGUGGAGGAGAGUGGUAAACUGGGUGUGGGUGAGGGUAAGGCUUGUGCACUGGUGGUGGGGGAGAUGGGUAUUUGUAUGGCUUCUUUGGUGGUGGAGGUGGUGGGGAGUGGUAGAUUGGGUGAGGGUGAGGGUGAGGGUGUGGGUGAGGGUAAUGGUGAGGAGGGGGUGGAGGAGAUUGGUAGACUGGGUGUGGAUGAGGGUAGGGCUUGUGCACUGGUGGUGGUGGAGAUUGGUAGACUGGGUGUGGAUGAGGGUAGGGCUUGUGCACUGGUGGUGGUGGAGAUGGGUAGUGGUAGGGAGGUGGUGGUGAGGAGACUGGUGGAGGUGGAGGAGAGGAGUAGGAGUAGUGGUUGCCGGAGAUUUGAGAUGGGAGGCUGAAAAGGAUAAUGGCAAAUGCAAGAGUGAUAGAAGCAGAGGCCAUUAGGGACCCCAUUUUCCUCCAACUGAGUUUUGGUUAUGCUCUAAAGUGAG